rnacentral:rRNA from 1 species
GUACUGUGCAAACGUUAUUCGGAAUCACUGGGCUUAAAGGGUGCGUAGGCGGCCAGGCAAGUAGGAUGUGAAAUCUUCCGGCUCAACCGGAAAACUGCGUUCUAAACUGCCUGGCUUGAGUGAGAUAGGGGUGUGUGGAACUUCCAGUGGGGCGGUGAAAUGUGUUGAUAUUGGAAGGAACGCCGUUAGCGAAAGCGACACACUGGGUCUCAACUGACGCUGAGGCACGAAAGCCAGGGUAGCGAACGGGGAUUAGAUACCCCGGUAGUCCUGGCUGUAAACGUUGAGCACUAGUCGGGAGGGGCUUCGGCCCCAUCCGGACGCAGCGAAAGCACUAAGUGCUCCGCCUGGGGGAGUAUGGUCGCAAGGCUG